GACGAACGCUGGCGGCGUGCUUAACACAUGCAAGUCGAACGAUGAUGCUCCAGCUUUGUUGGGGUGGAUUAGUGGCGAACGGGUGAGUAACACGUGAGUAACCUGCCCUCUUCUUUGGGAUAACGGUCGGAAACGGCUGCUAAUACUGGAUAUUCACUCAUUGGCGCAUGUUGGUGGGUGGAAAGGUUUUUUCUGGUGGGGGAUGGGCUCGCGGCCUAUCAGCUUGUUGGUGGGGUGAUGGCCUACCAAGGCUUUGACGGGUAACCGGCCUGAGAGGGUGACCGGUCACAUUGGGACUGAGAUACGGCCCAGACUCCUACGGGAGGCAGCAGUGGGGAAUUUUGCACAAUGGGCGCAAGCCUGAUGCAGCGACGCCGCGUGAGGGAUGAAGGCCUUCGGGUUGUAAACCUUUUUCGCUCAUGGUCAAGCCGCAGCUUUGGGUUGUGGUGAGGGUAGUGGGUAAAGAAGCGCCGGCUAACUACGUGCCAGCAGCCGCGGUAAUACGUAGGGCGCGAGCGUUGUCCGGAAUUAUUGGGCGUAAAGGGCUUGUAGGCGGUUGGCCGCGUCUGCCGUGAAAUCCUCUGGCUUAACUGGGGGCGUGCGGUGGGUACGGGUUGACUUGAGUGCGGUAGGGGAGACUGGAAUUCCUGGUGUAGCGGUGGAAUGCGCAGAUAUCAGGAGGAACACCGGUGGCGAAGGCGGGUCUCUGGGCCGUUACUGACGCUGAGGAGCGAAAGCGUGGGGAGCGAACAGG
rnacentral:rRNA from 1 species